rnacentral:lncRNA from 1 species
AAAAUUCCUUCCUAAUGGUCAGUUGAGAGGGAAAGAAGAAAAGAGGAAGUUAGGGGAGAGCGUAUAAAGAAUAAAAGCCCGUGAGCCCAAAAGUGCUCAAAAAAAUAAAUUUCUGUUUUAUAAGAGAAAAAGCAAGAUUCUUUCCUUCCCGGUCCCCACCGCACUGAAUGCUCCCGCCUCCCUGUGGCCGCGGAGGGCGGGCUGCUUAGGUUCAAAGCCCUGCUCCGGCUGAAAGCCAACCUGACUCCCGUUGGAAAAAAUGAAACGUCCUCUGUUAGAAGCAAGACUCUUCCCUGAUUACAGGAGUACUGCUCCCGCUGUCGUCUCCUCACAACCAGAGCUCCUGGCAAAGCCUUGUUGGAUGCAGCCACCUGAAAAGAGCCUUCCCCCCCAACCGCCUUUCCGGGACUUGGUAUCGCAGAACGACCCUACGACUGGCGGAGCAAGUGUUUCUCCGCUGUUCUCCACAGCACCGGUGUAUGACCUUUGCCAGAAAGUGUUGGCCAAGUUGUGAUUUGAUAGGAAACAAAACCCAGGAGGCGCUGUGAUUCAGCCCCCGCAGGGAGAAACUUAGAAUGGAAUGCUCUGUUUCCUAAACUUCUGAAGUUAUCUGGUCAACCUUCUUGCCGCCUGUGUUUUGUUUUGAUUUCUUUGCCAAAGUGAGACCCUGAAGGGCCACAGCUGCUGUGUGACCCCAAGUGACCACCUCAGUGAAUUCCUCAAAUUAGUGCCUCUGGUCUUAACGGUGCAGAAAAGAUGCAAGCUCAGAAAAUCGAGGAAGAGAAUUGGCACAGCGAGCCCACAUUCGCCGGACUUCAGAAUCCUCAGCCAGCGACUUGGAAUGCCAGAGAGGCAACAAAGGAAAAUGAUUAAUCGAAAGCUCCCCGUCAUGUAACUUCUUGAUGAAAACGAUGUCACUUUGUGCAGAUCAGAAGAGAUUAUUGCCUCAGGGCAAGACCCCAGAGAUGAUCUCGUCCCCCCUUGUUUUACAGAUGAGAGAUGUGGAGGGUACCGUGACCCGUCCAAGGCCACACAGUAACGCGGUGGCAGAGGUAGUACGACCACUGAGGUAUUCCUUCCACGAAACCACUUUCCCUUUCUUAAUGAAGAGAGAAAAAAUUAAAGAUGUCUCUAGGUUAAGUGGCUUGUGCUUUUGAAAAUUAUAUUUUAGUCUCUGUGAAUGGUGUUCCCUGGCGUUGGGACCAGCCCAUGUGGCUG